rnacentral:rRNA from 1 species
UGGGGAAUUUUGGACAAUGGGCGCAAGCCUGAUCCAGCCAUGCCGCGUGCGGGAAGAAGGCCUUCGGGUUGUAAACCGCUUUUGUCAGGGAAGAAAUCUUCUGAGUUAAUACCUCGGGAGGAUGACGGUACCUGAAGAAUAAGCACCGGCUAACUACGUGCCAGCAGCCGCGGUAAUACGUAGGGUGCAAGCGUUAAUCGGAAUUACUGGGCGUAAAGCGUGCGCAGGCGGUUUUGUAAGACAGAGGUGAAAUCCCCGGGCUCAACCUGGGAACUGCCUUUGUGACUGCAAGGCUUGAGUGCGGCAGAGGGGGGAUGGAAUUCCGCGUGUAGCAGUGAAAUGCGUAGAUAUGCGGAGGAACACCGAUGGCGAAGGCAAUCCCCUGGGCCUGCA